rnacentral:rRNA from 1 species
CCUACGGGAGGCAGCAGUGGGGAAUAUUGCACAAUGGGCGAAAGCCUGACGCAGCGACGCCGCGUGAGGGAUGACGGCCUUCGGGUUGUAAACCUCUUUCAGCAGGGAAGAAGCGAAAGUGACGGUACCUGCAGAAGAAGCGCCGGCUAACUACGUGCCAGCAGCCGCGGUAAUACGUAGGGCGCAAGCGUUGUCCGGAAUUAUUGGGCGUAAAGAGCUCGUAGGCGGCUUGUUGCGUCGGUUGUGAAAGCCCGGGGCUUAACCCCGGGUCUGCAGUCGAUACGGGCAGGCUAGAGUGUGGUAGGGGAGAUCGGAAUUCCUGGUGUAGCGGUGAAAUGCGCAGAUAUCAGGAGGAACACCGGUGGCGAAGGCGGAUCUCUGGGCCAUUACUGACGCUGAGGAGCGAAAGCGUGGGGAGCGAACAGGAUUAGAUACCCUGGUAGUCCACGCCGUAAACGUUGGGAACUAGGUGUUGGCGACAUUCCACGUCGUCGGUGCCGCAGCUAACGCAUUAAGUUCCCCGCCUGGGGAGUACGGCCGCAAGGCUAAAACUUAAAGAGUAUGACGNGAGAGAGCGACGACGACGACGACGGAGGAGAG